rnacentral:rRNA from 1 species
GAUGAACGCUAGCUACAGGCUUAACACAUGCAAGUCGAGGGGCAGCAUGGUCUUAGCUUGCUAAGGCCGAUGGCGACCGGCGCACGGGUGAGUAACACGUAUCCAACCUGCCGUCUACUCUUGGACAGCCUUCUGAAAGGAAGAUUAAUACAAGAUGGCAUCAUGAGUCCGCAUGUUCGCAUGAUUAAAGGUAUUCCGGUAGACGAUGGGGAUGCGUUCCAUUAGAUAGUAGGCGGGGUAACGGCCCACCUAGUCUUCGAUGGAUAGGGUUCUGAGAGGAAGGUCCCCCACAUUGGAACUGAGACACGGUCCAAACUCCUACGGGAGGCAGCAGUGAGGAAUAUUGGUCAAUGGGCGCAGGCCUGAACCAGCCAAGUAGCGUGAAGGAUGACUGCCCUAUGGGUUGUAAACUUCUUUUAUAAAGGAAUAAAGUCGGGUAUGUAUACCCGUUUGCAUGUACUUUAUGAAUAAGGAUCGGCUAACUCCGU